CGACGUAGGUAACCUGCCUGGUAGCGGGGGAUAACUAUUGGAAACGAUAGCUAAUACCGCAUAAGAAACAUUUACUGCAUGGUAGAUGUUUAAAAGGUUGCAAAUGCAUCACUACCAGAUGGACCUGCGUUGUAUUAGCUAGUAGGUGAGGUAACGGCUCACCUAGGCGACGAUACAUAGCCGACCUGAGAGGGUGAUCGGCCACACUGGGACUGAGACACGGCCCAG
rnacentral:rRNA from 1 species